rnacentral:rRNA from 1 species
CAUGAAGCUGGAAUCGCUAGUAAUCGCAGAUCAGAAUGCUGCGGUGAAUACGUUCCCGGGUCUUGUACACACCGCCCGUCACACCAUGGGAGCCGGGAAUGCCCGAAGUCGGUGACCCAACCGUAAGGAGGGAGCCGCCGAAGGCAGGCCUGGUAACUGGGGUGAAGUCGUAACAAGGUACC